UAUAAUUAAUAUAUUUUUUAUUUUUUAUUUCAUUUACAAUAUUAGUUACCUUACCUGCUUACCUUUCCCAUUUCCCCCACCCGUUCAAACUUCAAAAUCCCUAACCCCUUCCCUUCCCUCCUUUUUUUCCCCAAAUCAAAAACCCCACCUCCACCUCCACCGAUCAACCAUCCCACCUCCGGCGUACGGUCCUCGACGACUCCACCUCCAGGCUCCAGUUCCACGACGCUAGCGUUGUUGUUGUUCUCUACUUCUCUUCACUUCGAUUCUUCUGCAACUUAUGAAGAAACAAUCGACAUUGAAAUAGAAUUUGGCUUACCUUAGCUUCCUUUCCCGUAAGCUUUCAUUUACAUUUUCUUUUUACAAUUUAGUUUAAUUUGAUUUUCCUUUAUUUUACUUUGUACAACAUUUUGCAGAUUAGCAGAUUUCCCCAUAAGCUAAACUUGCUUAUCUAGUAUCUACUAGUAGGAAAAUAAUGGGAUUGAGAAAUACAGAUACUUCUAUUUAAGAUUUUGGAUUGGAUUUAUGCAGUUUGAAUUUCAUUAAUUUCUUUUUUGGUACAUAUGUAAUUUAGCUUAUAGAAUAAGUAUGACUAUCUCAAUUGUUUAAACGCAAAGGAUGUUUUCUAGUUUAGGUUUAUAUUAUAUAUUUAAUAAUUUGCCUAUUGUUUAUAUAUAAAUUUGAAAUCUAAUAAAUGUUUUUGUUCCA